CCGUGGAGGUGGCCUGCUCUCCUCAGCUUGUGCUGCCCGUCUCAAAGGACUGGAGAUUCCUGCUCUGUCACUACACCUCCCACCCUCUCCAUCACCUGCUCUGCUCUUAUAAGGAUCCGGAGAAAUGGAAUAAUCGUAUUGCUGAUCUACGUAAACAAAUUCAAGAAUUGUCUGAAAGAAAAUAUGCUCGAGCUGUAAAAGCCAAAGAUCCGGUGAUGAUCCCAUACCCUUUUUUCCAGUCUCACGUUGAAGAUUUUUAUGUAGAAGGCCUUCCCAAAGGAAUUUUUUUUUUUUUUUUUUUUUGAGAUGGAAUUUUCACUCUUAACGCCCAGGCUGGGGUGCAAUGGUGCAACCUUGCUGGUCACUGCAACCUCUGCCUCCUGGGUUCAAGAAAUUCUCCUGCCUUAGCCUCCCAUGUCGCUGGGAUUACAGGUGCCCACCACCACACCAGGCUAAUUUUUGUAUUUUUAGUGGAGAUGGGGUUUCACCAUGUUGGCCAGGCCAGUCUCAAACUCCUGACAUCAAGUGAUCUUCCCACCUCGGCCUCCCAGAGUGCUGAGAUGACAGAUGUGAACCCAUGCCUGGCCAGGAAUUUUGUUUUUUAGAAAGGCUUUCUACUAAUGGAAUUCCUGGCCUUGAGAGGAUAUUACUUUCGAAGGAAAGGAUUUUUUUGUUAUUAAAAGAGCCACCUAAGCUGAAGAUUCCCUUGAGAACAAGUACUGUCCUGUGGUUUCAUGACCUUUCUUCCAUUUGUGGUUCUUGUGAAGUGGAAUUUAAAUGACAUCUUAUGAAGAUGGAUAAACCCUAGUUUCCCAGUGCUGGAAUAUAGAAAAUGAUGGACAAGUAAAUCCCACUCAGCACCCAUAGUCCAGGCAUGGGGACCUCAACACACCUGAGCCCCAGACAUCACCUUUCAUUAAUGUCUUUUUGUCACUUCUAGCUGGACCUACCAUGAAAGACUUCUGAAUCCAGGAAGAGAGACUGACUGGGCAACAUGUUAUUCAGAUGGGGUCUUCUUAUGUUGCCCAGGCUGGUCUCAAAUUCCUAGGCUCAAGUGAUUCCACCCACCUCUGCCUCCCAAAGUGCUGGGAUUACAGGCAUGAGCCAGCGCAUCUGGCCACCUUAUUUUCUAUUACUGGCCCAAUGUAAUGGCUCCAUCUCAGGAACAGCCAAUGAAAGAGAUGCACAGGACAAGGAAGUGACUUCACAAUGACUCAAGCUACCAUAUACUGUUGAUUGUGAAAUGCCAGUUGAAGCAUAUGUCCUGUGAGCUUAGGGGUGCUACAGGUUGACCACUGCAGCAGUAAAGAUGACUCUGAAGAAUGGCAUGGGAUGGAUCCUUUCGAAUGCACUUGAGCAGCGGUCUCCAACCACAGGGCCACAGAGCUG